rnacentral:rRNA from 1 species
UACGUAGGGGGCAAGCGUUGUCCGGAAUCAUUGGGCGUAAAGCGCGUGUAGGCGGUUCGGUAAGUCUGCUGUGAAAGUCCAGGGCUCAACCCUGGGAUGCCGGUGGAUACUGUCGGACUAGAGUACGGAAGAGGCGAGUGGAAUUCCCGGUGUAGCGGUGAAAUGCGUAGAUAUCAGGAGGAACACCUGUGGUGUAGACGGCUUACUGGACCGCAACUGACGCUGAGACACGAAAGCGUGGGUAGCAAACAGG